GUAGGUGGCAAGCGUUGUCCGGGAAUUAUUGGGGCGUAAAGCGCGCGCAGGCGGUUCUUUAAGUCUGAUGUGAAAGCCCACGGGCUCAACCGUGGAGGGUCAUUGGAAACUGGAGAACUUGAGUACAGAAGAGGAAAGCGGAAUUCCACGUGUAGCGGUGAAAUGCGUAGAGAUGUGGAGGAACACCAGUGGCGAAGGCGGCUUUCUGGUCUGUAACUGACGCUGAGGCGCGAAAGCGUGGGGAGCAAACAGGAUUAGACACCCUGGUAGUCCACGCCGUAAACGAUGAGUGCUAAGCGUUAGGGGGUUUCCGCCCCUUAGUGCUGCAGCUAACGCAUUAAGCACUCCGCCUGGGGAGUACGGCCGCAAAGGCUG
rnacentral:rRNA from 1 species